rnacentral:rRNA from 1 species
UCCUCCCUCUUUCUUCGUGCUUAACACAUGCAAGUCGAACGGUGAAGGGACCGGUUUUUGCUGGUUCUGGAUGAGUGGCGAACGGGUGAGUAACACGUGAGUAACCUGCCCCCUUCUUCUGGAUAACCGCAUGAAAGUGUGGCUAAUACGGGAUAUUCUGCGCCUGCUGCAUGGUGGGUGUGGGAAAGAUAUUGUUUCGGUGUGGGAUGGGCUCGCGGCCUAUCAGCUUGUUGGUGGGGUGAUGGCCUACCAAGGCGGUGACGGGUAGCCGGCCUGAGAGGGUGGACGGUCACACUGGGACUGAGACACGGCCAAGACUACUACGGGAGGCAGCAGUGGGGAAUAUUGCACAAUGGGCGCAAGCCUGAUGCAGCGACGCCGCGUGAGGGAUGGAGGCCUUCGGGUUGUAAACCUCUUUCGCCAGUGAAGCAGGCCUGUCCCUUUUGUGGGUGGGUUGACGGUAGCUGGAUAAGAAGCGCCGGCUAACUACGUG